GUGCGUGCGUGUUGACGGGUUUUGAGUCGGCACGCAUGUUCACGCCCAGCACUGUCGGCACAGAUUUGUUUACAAACACUGGCCCGACGCUGUGAGCCAGCGGGCAAUUUGCCCCGCCUAGCGGUCGGUUUGAAUAUAGGUCGGUAGGUCAAAUGGAGAAUUCCCAAAAAUGUAGAGUAGGGUCUGUCUGCGUCCUGCAAGACGGAGGCGUAACUUGUAGUAGGCGUAACUUGUAGUAGGAGGAGGCGUGUCUUUUAAAUAAUCUGUAAAUUAUUUUCUUAAAUGCAUAUGACUCAGGGAUGUCAGUUUCAGUAAGCCAUUAAUGCUAUGAUUAAGCUUAUCAAGAGCAUAUUUUUAAAUGAGCGGGUCGGGUGCAUUCUUUUUAUAUCAGGCCUAAUAUUUGAGGUCAGAGUUGCGGUCAUGUAUAUACCCGCGCACCCACCACUGCUACGUACUGAUCACUUCCGCGAUUUAGAAAAGUACAAGACACGCCUCCUACUACAAUUUACGCCUACUACAAGUCACUUCUCCGUCUUGCAGGACGCAGACGGAUACUAUUGAAAAUUGAUAGAGCCCCCCCAAUUUUUUUUUUUAUCAUGCUUUUUUUUUAUUUUUUUUUAUCAAUAAUUAUAUUGAGAUCAUUUCAGAUUCCGAUGCAGAACUUGCAUAAAAGUGCUGAUGUUCAUCAUCUUAUUAUGCUGCCAUUGAGAUGGCUCGUGCAGAGACACUGGAGAGUGCAGGAGCAGGAGGAGGUGGAGGAGGAGGAGGAGGAGGAGGAGGAGGAAGAGGAGGUGCAGAGGGAGAGAGAGGAGGCUCUCUGGUCCGGCCCAGCAGCUGUCGCAUGGAGCGGCCCAUUCCGGGCCUGGAGUCAUGGCCCAGCCUGCUCUCAACCACCCCUACCACCACCUCCAGCAGCUACGACCUCCACCAGAGCCUGAACCUCCCCCGGGCCCUCCCCCGGGCCACGGCCCUCCUCCUUCAAGGCCCGCCGCGGCCUCGGCCCCCCCAGGCCCCCAGCUCCACGAAGGAGGAGGAGGAGGAGGAGGAAGAGGAGGAGGAGGAAGAGGAGGAGAGACCCAGGGCUGAGGACAGGUUGUGUUCUGGGGAACCACCAGCAGAGAUGACGGGCUCUGGCAGAGAGGAGCGACAGGAGGCCUCCAGGGAGCAGGGCCCUCUGGCUGACAUGCAGGCCCAGGAUGAGCAGCCUUGCUGGGGCUCGGCCCGCCGCAGGGAGGCCGCGGUGGAAGCGGAGGAUAUUAGGCGUAUAGCUCAACGGCUGACGUUCAUCGGAGACCAGAUCAACACCACCGUUCUCUUUGUAGCUGAUGCUGCCCCCCAGUGGAGACACUUCAGAACGUGCCUCCACCUUCUCAACUUUGUCUCCCAGGCAUUCAACAACCUCUACCACUUCAGAUAGGACACCCUUUACCCGUUACCAUGGAUACCCCCCCCCCCCCCCCCCCCCCCCCCCCCCCCCCUCCUGAUUGGCUUCCCUUUUGUUGGAUGGAUCCAGCAGUGGAACAGUUCAGUGCCACUGGUCUGGUGACUCCGGUCCUAAGCCACUCUAAGGGGACUCCUCUUGGCGGACUGCGGGGGGAUCCUUCCCAUUAAUGAGGGGUCUGGGACUGCUGGCCCAGACUGGAACCGCGGCCGCGGUUCUGUACAUUCUGUAAAUGUGUUGGCUUUCUUCCGUUGUGUUUACUAGCUUUUUGGUUGACUUGCAUUUUGUUUUUGAGGGACGUAGCUUCUUGUGUAGCAAUGUGUGUGUGCGAGUGACUCUUAUGUGUGGAGGACUGAUAUCUGAGUUUGCAGCACUUGGAUGCUGGAGGAAGGAAUGCGCGCCUGAAUCCACCUGCUCUGGAGAAAACUGGAGAUCAUUCAUCCCAACGAUCCUUCAAGCCCAUCGCACGACGUGCCUUCCUACAAGACGUAAACGUGCACACAAUUUGACAAUCGCAACCUCAUCCCCGCUAGUGGAUGAGAGUGGCUAACGCUAGCUGCAGUGAGCAGCUAGCGUGCAAGAUAGCUGUUAAUGCCUAUAUUGCAGAGACGGAGUACUGCAAUCUGAAGCCACCAGAAAGCCUGUGGAAAUGAUGGGAUCAGGACUACCUGACGCAUACACACACACAUACAAACACAUACACACACACACACAAACACUGGCGCGCACACAAACACACGCAUACACGUGGUAAAUGAUGGUGUUUGUGCACACUGUAGAGGAUGGUGCCAGUAUUUUAUCUCAGAGAUUUGGAUAUUAGCCAGUUAAUUUAGAAGCUUUUUGAAGGAUCGGUUUUUGAGCUAAGAAUCAACUUGAAAGUCGUUAAAGCGAAUUCAAUGGUUGUGUUCGAGUUCUGUGACACCUGCAGCUCAUGCAGUUUAUGUUAUGUUUUGGACUGCAUCGUGGAAGCAGUAGAGCCAGAUUACAAGAUUUGAAUCCAGUGGAUUUGAACAUUUCCUGAGAGUAAAAAGAUAUAUAUCAAUCGAUUUAUAAAGAUAUGAUUUGGAUUGAUAUAUAGAUAUGAAAUGGAUCGAUAUAGAUAUGAUUUAGAUCUUUUGAAAAGGUAUCAAUUGAUGAACUGAAUGAUCCCUUACAUUUUGUGCAAAAAAAAACAACGUGUUUAUAUCAGGACCAUUAUUUAUUUUGAAAAGGAGUUUUGCCUUGUUUAUGUUUUUCUACGUUUGUUUUUUUAACUUUCGUAUAAUGAUUAAUUUAUUUGUUCCUUUACAUUCCAGAUUACGUUUCUAUUUAAAAUGUUUAUUUUCAAUAAUGUAACAAUAAUCCUCUCCCAUAAUUGUCUAAACUCCUUUACAAUUUCAAUCAAUUUGAAUCAAACUGCUGUUAUAGUUUUGAUGAUCGGUUUCUGUUCGGGCAGGCCUACGCUGCUAGGUUCAAGUUGGCUCGGUCAGCCCCUCAUCUUCUGUUAGAGCCGCUCAACUAUCAAGACAUUAUUCAGCCGUCAGGAAGCUUUCAUUUGGUUUCUUUCUGUCUAAUAACCACUGUCACUGCCAGACCCAAAUGUCAUGAAAUCGGAGUCCUUUGUAUCUUUCUCUUCGGGCCUUAUGUGUUCUCGUGUGAUGGUUCUCAGUUCACUGUUCUCCUGUUAGCAUUUCAAACAGUUAUGUUGUGUAUUGUCCUGCGCAGCUACAAACACGCAGUUUUGUUAGACAACAGCGACAUUUACAUUUUUCUAAAUACUUCAAAUGGUUGUGUUUGACAAUUUUCCAUGGUAUUUUACUGGGCAAAAAAAAGGACGAGGCACUUCCGAACAUUUCCGGUAGACUUCCUGUAGUGGAACGUAACGUCCUGUGGUCCUCUCUUUGACUUCCUUGUUGAACAGUGCACUUCCUGGUUACGAGGCUGAAGUUUUGCUGGUCAGCCUGCAGCCCUGCACCAAAGGUUUCGGUGCAGUGUAUAUUUCUGUUUUCUACAUGAAUUUUGUACUUAUUUUCAUUUCACUUUUUUAUAUAAUAAAGAUACGUUGAUAUACAUAUCCUGUUCUUUCUGCCUCUUAAGUGUGUGUGUGUGUGGGUGCCUGUGUGUGUGUGUUCGUGUGUCAAUAUGUGUGUGUGUGUGUGUGUGUGUGGCAGGCGUGUGUACAUAGUGAACAUUGUUGUGUGUGUCACCACGACGCCCAUCAGCAAAGGUGAACCCAGUUCAGCUCCAAGAAUGAGGGCUGUGUGUGUGUGUGUGUGCGUGUGCGUGUGCGUGUGUGUGUGUGUGUGUGUGUGUAUAUAUGAUGGCUUAAUUCGAGAAGACCACUUCCAACUGAUAAGUGGAGAUAACUUGACCACACACACACACACGCACACACACACACACACACAUGGCUAGUGUGCUGACAGUAAGACAGUAGUCCAAUGCUUCCACAGUGUGGAUGGAGGAAGCUGGAAACUUGUAUUGACGUGACCUUGGCUGCAGACAGCCCGACCCCAUGAGCUUUUGAA
rnacentral:lncRNA from 1 species